AUUCUGUGCUGCGGACAUUUUCUCAACAUCUCCUUGUAACUUUCCCAUGUAUCGUAUAAGGAUUCAAAUUCCAAUUGGUGGAAAGAGGAGAUUUCGCUUCUUAGUUU